UACAGAGGUCUCAAGCGUUGUUCGGAUUCAUUGGGCGUAAAGAGCGUGUAGGCGGCUGGGUAGGUCCGUUGUGAAAACUCGAGCUCAACCUCGAGACGCCGAUGGAAACCCUCCAGCUAGAGUCCGGAAGAGGAGAGUGGAAAUUCCUGGUGUAGCGGUGAAAUGCGCAGAUAUCAGGAGGAACACCGGUGGCGAAGGCGGAUCUCUGGGCCGAUACUGACGCUGAGGAGCGAAAGCGUGGGGAGCAAACAGG
rnacentral:rRNA from 1 species